rnacentral:tRNA from 1 species
GCAUCAAUAGCCAAGUGGUAAGGCGAAGGUCUGCAAAACCUUUAUCCCGAGUUCGAUUCUCGGUUGAUGCU